AUAGUAAUUCAACUCAGUCCGAGAGGAACCGUUGAUUCAGAUAUUUGGUAUUUUCGCUUAGCUGAGAAGCUAGUGGCGAGAAGCUACCAUCUGUAGGAUUAUGACUGAACGCCUCUAAGUCAGAAUCCAUGCCAGAAACGAGAACGGUGCCCGAUUACGCGAGUAUCGAUAGCUUCGGCCUGUACCGUAUAAUUCACUCGGGUUUCCAGAUGAGAUCUGGAGCCUUGUGGUAGAAUAGCAAUUUCGAACAUUGGGCGCAGGAGAUCCUUUGCAGACGACUUAACAAGCAACGGGGUAUUGUAAGCAGUAGAGUAGCCUUGUUGCUACGAUCUGCUGAGAUUAAGCCUUGGUUGU
rnacentral:rRNA from 11 species